UCCUGCUUACGCAGGCAGUCUACCUAGAGUCCCCAUCAUUACAUGCUGGCAACUAAGUAAAAGGGUUGCGCUCGUUAUGGGACUUAACCCAACACCUCACGGCACGAGCUGACGACGGCCAUGCAGCACCUUGCAUUCUGUCCCGAAGGAGGGCCCCACUUUCAUGAGGCUUGCACCAGGAUGUCAAACCCAGGUAAGGUUCUUCGCGUCGCAUCGAAUUAAGCCGCAUGCUCCGCCGCUUGUGCGGGCCCCCGUCAAUUCCUUUGAGUUUUAGCCUUGCGGCCGUACUCCCCAGGCGGGGUGCUUAAUGCGUUAGCUUCGGCACGGACGGGGUCGAUAUCCGCCCACACCUAGCACCCAACGUUUACGGCUAGGACUAC
rnacentral:misc_RNA from 1 species